rnacentral:piRNA from 1 species
UGGUAAAAUGCUAGAGUGAUCUCAACUAAA